GACGAACGCUGGCGGCGUGCUUAACACAUGCAAGUCGUACGGUAAGGCCCUUUCGGGGGUCCACGAGUGGCGAACGGGUGAGUAACACGUGAGUAACCUGCCCACAACUUUGGGAUAACGCUAGGAAACUGGUGCUAAUACUGGAUAUGUGCUCCUGCUGCAUGGUGGGGGUUGGAAAGCUCCGGCGGUUGUGGAUGGACUCGCGGCCUAUCAGCUUGUUGGUGGGGUAGUGGCCUACCAAGGCGGCGACGGGUAGCCGGCCUGAGAGGGUGACCGGCCACAUUGGGACUGAGAUACGGCCCAGACUCCUACGGGAGGCAGCAGUGGGGAAUAUUGCACAAUGGGCGCAAGCCUGAUGCAGCAACGCCGCGUGCGGGAUGACGGCCUUCGGGUUGUAAACCGCUUUCAGCAGGGACGAAGCUUUUUGUGACGGUACCUGCAGAAGAAGCACCGGUUAACUACGUG
rnacentral:rRNA from 1 species